GAGUCAACUUUCGGUUUAUUCCUCGCUGUUGUAAACGCCGACUAAAUAUAAGCCGAGUCAACAAAUACAAGGGUUUGAUAAUAAUCUUCGAAAUCGCUAAUGCUAUUGCUUUUCAAAAUAUUCUUCAUUAAGAUCUUCAUACUUUUGCAUGAGUUUGAACUAAUUUUCGAUCCUCUUUUGCCACUCCCAUUGAGGUAUUUCCAAAACCGCCACUUCUGCUGUGUUGACCUCCUAGCUAUUUUCAUACGUAAGGGAAUAAAGGAAGUCAUGCAGGGCCAAAAUAGAACUUAACGGUGGACGACUCAACAAAUCAAAGUUUUGAGUGCUCAAAAAUACAGUUAUUUUUAUGAAUGUGUGGGCGCUUAUAUUCUCAAAAACUGAUAUUGAACGAUCAUCACGAAACCGUUUUGAAGUGAUCUACGAGCUCUAUUGAAUUCAACAUAUCGUCGAUAAACAUUCCUCCCUGAUGUAGCUUCAACGCAAAAAAAAUUUAAUUAAGUUCAGCGAUGCCCUGUUGCUGGGUUAAUCCACGUCGAAGGUUGUUACAAAUAAUCGCGCGAAAUGUUCACGAUUUAAUUCACCUCUUUGUCCGAGCUAAUGAUUUUAUUCUGAAAAUGUUCUUUGCGGGAUUGCAACACUGAUAUAAUAUAACACGUGGUCCUCGUACCUGCAAUUGAAAUGAGGUUAGGGGUGGUUGACAACAUGAUCUAGCCAGAGCAGCGGCUCUCUCUGAAUUUGCUGAACAUCGUGCCAUCAUUUGCAAUUUUGGCCAUUGCCCGCUCACGAAGACGAGGCCCAAGACUCCAUAUAAGUUGGUUACGCCAUCGCACAAAAAAAAUUACUCGCAAUUCUCGUGAACGCUAGACUACGAUUUCAACGCAGUUGAAAAUCAAGACAAACCAGUAUGAACUGGGAAAGUAAAAGAGCACGCAAAGAAUAUUACUUUGAAAGAGAAGCCAUCCUUAAGCUAUCAAGGAGAUCUGAUUGGUCAUUGUCUGUACGGGGAUAUGUAAAACGGGGUGCAGCUAAAUCUACUCAGGACAGCGUCAGAUUUAGGAAUUAAGCAAUCAAACAUUUUUUUGUGUCGUUUUCAAGACAGCGGAUGUAAAAGAGAUUCAGAUAAGCUUCGUCGUUUAAUAGCCAAUUGUCGUGGGUGAGAAACUGUGGCCACUGUGUUGUCAUUGCGACUCUGGUCUAACUGUAAUGUAUGUUCUUUCACCCAAUUAUAUUUAUUAUAUUUUGUUUGCUGAAAUUUUAAGAAUACAGACACUACGGCAACCC